AUUGCUUCUCGGCCUUUCGGCUAAGAUCAAGUGUAAGUUCUCUUCUUAUCAGUUUAAUAUCUGUUAUGUCCUCUAUUUGAGGACCACAUAUCAAAUGGAUUUUUAGAUUUUUUGAAGCUGACAAAUUCCUUCCUUCAACCUGUGUAAAAGAGGAAGUCAUUGGCAUCCUCCAUUCUCUGCAGCACUCU